rnacentral:lncRNA from 1 species
UUAAUUCAUUCAAUUGUAGUCUCCUAUUACUAGCAUUUUUCAUGUCGAAAUUGAAUUGCUUUAUGACCCAAAAUGUGCGGUGUUCUAGCUCUAUCGGCAGAUGGCAGGCUUUUCCAAAAACGAGUCGGUAAGGAGAUAUUCCUAUCGGGGUCCUGUAUGCAGUAUGGUAGGCCCAUAAUGCAUCGUCUAAUCGUCCAGAUUAAUCUUUUCGAUCAGGCCUAACCGUCUUCUCAAGAAUUCGUUUGAUCUCCCUAUUGGAGACUUCCACUUGGCCACUAGUUUGGGGGUGAUA